CUCCCCGGCGGGGCUCCGGGCAGGUGGGGCUCCGGCUGCGCCCUUUCCUCCGCCCGUGUGUCGUGAGCCGGGAGUCCGCGGUGAUGGGCACGGGACAGAAGCCUGGAAAGAUCGGGGCGCUGCAAGAGGAGCUGCUGCCACCAUACUUCAGCCGUGAACAGAUCCGUGCACUUCAGCCCGGCUCAAAUUCUGUAGCGCUCUUGGUGACCUAAGGCUGUCCCCUGGCCUGGGCACUGAGAAGACACCCCGGUGUCCCCUGGCUCGCUGUCAGUCUCCCUUGCACACAGCUCUCCUGCUUCAUCCCUUUAAUCCCCGGUUGCUGCGUUUGCACUGAAAACAUGUUUUGUUCUUGACGUAUCUGCUCCUCCUUUGCCCGAGCUGGGUCCUUGUUUGCCGUAGCACUGUGGUGUGGGGAACUCGCUGUUCUCUCAUUUGGGUAUUUGUGACAGGUUGACUUGAUUCAAAAUCCAUGUCAGCCCGUGAAAAACAUCCCCUUGGCUUCAGUGUGCUCUGGACCAGGAUUUCAAAAAUCAACAAGCAGGAGAUUACAGUUUUAUAAGUGAGAGGCCUUCUGUCUGACUGGGUACCAGUGGCACAGGAGGGCUGUUACCAUGUGGAUGAUGCAUGACGUUACUGUUGUACUCGUGUGGCUGAAAAUAACACUGACUUGCUGAGCCAGUCACCUUUCUGCUCUCCAAAACUGUAAUAAUUUUAAUGAUAGGGCUGAAUAGAAGCAACGUAGAAGAAUGGGUGUGCCAAAAGACGGCUCUGAAAAGGCUGCCAUACCUCCUCCUGUGAAUGUAUGCUGCAGAUAAAAAAGAUUUCCAAGAAUGAUAAAGGAAGUAAAAUUUGUAUGAAGUAA